rnacentral:rRNA from 1 species
AGCGUAGGUGGGCAGGUAAGUCAGUGGUGAAAUCUCCGGGCUUAACCCGGAAACUGCCAUUGAUACUAUUUGUCUUGAAUAUUCUGGAGGUAAGCGGAAUAUGUCAUGUAGCGGUGAAAUGCUUAGAUAUGACAUAGAACACCAAUUGCGAAGGCAGCUUACUACGGAACUAUUGACACUGAGGCUCGAAAGCGUGGGGAUCAAACAGGAUUAGAUACCCUGGUAGUCCACGCCCUAAACGAUGGAUACUCGACAUCAGCGAUACACUGUUGGUGUCUGAGCGAAAGCAUUAAGUAUCCCACCUGGGAAGUACGACCGCAAGGUUGAA